AGGCAAGGAGGACUCCUCAAGCCAUUUGUGAUCACUCCACUCUUGACCGGCAGUCCAGGGAUCCGACAGCAAGUCCAACUCUUGGUCCCGUGUUGCAGACCCCUGUCCUUCAGGGUGGCACAUGAGAGAAUUUGCUACAUGAGUAAGCUUUAACUGUGGGUUUUAGUUUUGACCAGUGGUUCCUAACACCUCUGAAAAUGUGGAGAACACCUCAGAAUGCAGCUGAGUGGAGAGUAGUACUCAGAGGCCCUAGAAGAUGGUUGAUUCUCAAGAUGAAGGAGCCUAUAUCCCUGAAUCACUAUGUGGAGAGCUGCCUCCUGAAC